GCUCCCAUAGUUUAACUGGAUAAAAUAGGGGUUUCCUAAACCCUAGCUCCGUGUUCGAGUCACGGUGGGAGCACCA
rnacentral:tRNA from 4 species